rnacentral:rRNA from 1 species
UACGGAGGGUGCAAGCGUUAAUCGGAAUUACUGGGCGUAAAGCGCACGUAGGCGGCUUUGUAAGUCGGAUGUGAAAGCCCUGGGCUUAACCUGGGAAUUGCAUUCGAUACUGCUUGGCUAGAGUAUGGUAGAGGGAAGUGGAAUUUCCGGUGUAGCGGUGAAAUGCGUAGAUAUCGGAAGGAACACCAGUGGCGAAGGCGACUUCCUGGGCCAAUACUGACGCUGAGGUGCGAAAGCGUGGGGAGCAAAC